GACAGCGAUCAUUCCUGGGUGAAUGAUAUGUCCAACACUUCAUCCUCAUUAGAGAGUGAGUCCGUAGGCCAACAGCAGAAAAAGAGGACUUUCACCUAAGACUUUGGAUUCAAAUGUUCCGGUUACGCUUGAUGGUCUCUUUGACGGCAUUGAGCCGGUCACGGCUGAUGUUCCCGGUGAGUUCCGCUGCAUAGCUAUUCUGGUCAUAUUUGCAAUUGUAGGCUAUCAUUAUUAUUAUUAUCAUUAGUCUAUUAGUUAUUGUUGUUUUUGGCCUUCCCAAACCAGUAGGCCUACCCCUCGAGCCAACUGAAUACAGCCCGCCUGAGUCAUCACGGCCGGAGGCGGCUGUGGAAAUGGGGAAGGAUGGGACGGCGUGGACGGUGCUUCAGCUGACUGAACGUCCGGGGAGGAAGCAGAGCCAAAACAACCUGACGGAAGCUGCUGGCCCCACAGCGCACGCAAAGCGCAACAUUGAACAUGCGCUCAUGGCCUUUGUAUGUUUCUUCGAUAAUAGCAUGCUGAAGCACAUCAGGGACUGCACUGUGGCUGAGGCCCAUCGGCACCGUGUUGACAGCUCCUGGGACCUGACAGUGGCUGAACUAAAAGCAUUUAUAGCCCUGCUGUAUGUCCGCGGGGCACAGGGUGCAAAACACAUCGAUGUGGACAGUCUGUGGUCAGAAAAAUGGGGCUUGCCCUUUUUUUACAGAAACUAUGGCCAGAAACAGAUUUAGAGAGAUCAUAAAAUUCCUGCGGCUUGAUAAGAAGUAAACCAGACGCAUUCAUCUGCAGGAUGACAAGUUUGCCCUGGUGUCGGCAACCUGGAAAAAGUUUGUGCAGAACAGCAUAGCUUGUUACAAGCCUGGUGCCAACGUUAUGAUUGAUGAGCAGCUGUUCCAAAUAUGUGCUGAAUGGGGCUCCGUAUCUAGGUAAAUGUUAUGGGAGCGGUUGGGUUUGUUUGUUUUCCUUGUCCUCUGUGUCUGUCCUUGUUGCUGGGGUGGCUGAAAGUAGGUCAAGGGGCGUGGCCAGGCAAUCCACCUACCUGCACGGCUGCUGGCUAUCCUGCAAUCUCUUUCUGCUCAGCUGUUGCUGAUUCUCUCAUCACGGCUGCAGUAUUUAGACCUGGUUGGAGCCUGUCUUCGGCGCCAGAUCGUUACAACUACUAAAGUGACCUACGCCACUCGAACCUGUGCCUACGACUGCUGUGCCGCCAGCCUAUCGCUCCUCACGCUUUUCAUCUCCUCGUUUGGAUCCCUGUGAGAGUUGUUUUUGGACACGCCACGCUCUGCCCACGCCGCUCCAGUCCUGUCUCCUCCACCGCUGCUGACUGUCUCAGGCUGCUGAGUUUUUGUUUAUGACGUUCAUUAAAGACAUUCUAAACGUU